UGCCCCAUGGCUGAGUUGGUUACAGCGUCCGACUGUUAUGUUUCGACAAUGAGAUAGUAUUGUCAUCGGAAGGUCGAGAGUUCGAGCCUCUCUGGGGCAG